rnacentral:rRNA from 1 species
UACGUAGGGGCGAGCGUUGUCCGGAAUGACUGGGCGUAAAGGGCGCGUAGACGGCUGAUUAAGUCUGGAGUGAAAGUCCUGCUUUUAAGGUGGGAAGUGCUUUGGAGACUGGUUGGCUUGAGUGCGGAAGAGGUAAGUGGAAUUCCCAGUGUAGCGGUGAAAUGCGUAGAGAUUGGGAGGAACACCAGUGGCGAAGGCGACUUACUGGGCCGUAACUGACGUUGAUGCGCGAAAGCGUGGGGAGCGAACAGGAUUAGAUACCCGUGUAGUCCCUGAG